rnacentral:rRNA from 1 species
AUUGAACGCUGGCGGCAUGCUUUACACAUGCAAGUCGAACGGUAACAGGCCGCAAGGUGCUGACGUGUGGCGAACGGGUGAGUAAUGCAUCGGAACGUGCCCAGUCGCGGGGGAUAACUACUCGAAAGAGUAGCUAAUACCGCAUACGAUCUAUGGAUGAUAGCGGGGGACCGUAAGGCCUCGCGCGAUUGGAGCGGCCGAUGUCAGAUUAGGUAGUUGGUGGGGUAAAGGCUCACCAAGCCAACGAUCUGUAGCUGGUCUGAGAGGACGACCAGCCACACUGGGACUGAGACACGGCCCAGACUCCUACGGGAGGCAGCAGUGGGGAAUUUUGGACAAUGGGCGCAAGCCUGAUCCAGCAAUGCCGCGUGCAGGAAGAAGGCCUUCGGGUUGUAAACUGCUUUUGUACGGAACGAAACGGCUCUGGUUAAUACCCGGGGCUAAUGACGGUACCGUAAGAAUAAGCACCGGCUAACUACGUG